UACAGAGGUCUCAAGCGUUGUUCGGAUUCAUUGGGCGUAAAGGGUGUGUAGGUGGCGCCGUAAGUCGGGUGUGAAAUUUCGGAGCUUAACUCCGAAACUGCAUUCGAUACUGCGGUGCUUGAGGACUGGAGAGGAGACUGGAAUUCAUGGUGUAGCAGUGAAAUGCGUAGAGAUCAUGAGGAAGACCAGUGGCGAAGGCGGGUCUCUGGACAGUUCCUGACACUGAGACACGACAGCGUGGGGAGCAAACAGG
rnacentral:rRNA from 1 species